CGAAGAUGAACGGAGGACUUACAGGCUUGGGACGACAUGUCACGUGGAAAGCAGAUGAUCAUGGCAAAAAAGGAAAGGGAAGAAUUAACUUUUGUGCACUUAAAGUGUGCACAAGCCAGAUGAUCUGACAGUUGCUAGCUGAUGGAAAAUGAUUGCUGGAUGAAUGACCUUCAACUUCAACUCAACCUUGCCAAGACAGAAUUGCUUAUGGUUUUAGCCAAACCAUACUUGCUGUGAUCCUACUGAUUUGCUUUAUACAUCAUUAGGAGGAUCAGGCCCUUCCUAUCGGAGCUAAACAACUCCUGGUCUAAGCUCUUGUUCUAGACUGUACUAUUGUAAUGCUCUCUUGACAGGUUUCCAGCAUCAGUCAAACCUCUGCAACUGAUCCAGAUGCUGCAGCAAGAGUUGUCUUUAAAGGUAGCCCUAUACCUAAACUCACUUGUGUUCUGCAAGUGAAUGGCGCCUUGUGGUGCCAUAAUUGUGCCAUUUGUGUCCAAAGAGACACAAAACCACUUUUACUGACCUUUACCUGGACUGUUUCCUGCUGUUGGAAUGACCUGUGCAACUCAACACAUUUUCAAGAAACUGCUAAAGAUCCAUCUUUUUCAUAAACACUUGACCCAAUAAUACAAAACCUUUGUUAAAAAAAAAAAAAAAAA